GACACUUUUGUGGCUUACUUUUCAGCAUAUACUUUUGGUUACUCUGGGUUCAGAAAGAAUUAAGAGGAAAAGCACAUUUGGAAAGGGAAGAGAACUAUCUGCACAUGUUGUUUUUAUCAUCAAGAAUGUAUUCUGCAUCAGUAUGAUGCCUGCUUUUCAGGAUCCCUUGCACCUUCGAUGUUAAGCAGGUAUAAUGAUGCACUUAUUUUAGAGUAGAGGGAAGUAUUAGUACUACUCCUGUACAUAUUAGAGCAUAAGAAAUCUCUGAAUUGUAUCUUUGAAAAUAUAUAGAACCAACAAUACCCCACCACCUUUAUUAUGAUUUAUUUUUGCGUUCAUAUUGUUCUUCAAAAUAUAUAGAACCAACAAUACCCCGCCACCUUUAUUAUGAUUUAUUUUUGCGUUCAUAACUCAGACACGCUAUUUUGACUACUUUCACCACCCAUACAAGUUCCAAAUUUACAGCUUCCAUCAAUGUUUGUUUCAUUCCUUCAUGCCAUUGGUAUAUAGUAGCACAGUACAUAAAGAAACGUAUGAAUUUUGCAGCUUUAGUAACAUAUCCAGUAGUUGCAGACAAAUACUUGAUUGGCCAGCUUCCUCACUAUUUGAAGUAUGUUCAGUGUCAAAUCAACUAUGGAAUUACACAGAUCACACGUUUCAUAGAAUCAAAAUUAAUAAGCUGAAGAUACAAACAUCAUUGGUCUUAUGAUAAGCUUGCUUACUUCAAGAACAAUCAGGCAAGGACUAAAUAGAUGCAGAGUUGCACUACCAGCACCGGCCAGCUGAUGGGGAACACAAUGGAAAGAUACAUUCUAGCCAACCGGAUAGACCAGUUUAGGGAACAUGUGAAGGAAAAAAGCUCAAUCUAUAAUUCUAUAAUAUGUACGGAAAAAAUACGAGGCAACAGACCACCACCCUUACUGGAUUAAAAUAACCUAGCUGACAAAAAUUCACGAAGUCAUUCUGAAGCCUGAAAACUUUCCAUUGUUUGCAUAUGAUGUGCAGCCUUUCGAUGCACUGCAUACAUGCAUAGGCGACAUUACCCUUCUGUCAGAUGCUGUUGGAUGGGUUACAAUGCUGACACACAUUAUUCCGUCCAAGAAAAAUCCAAUGACACUCCAUGGGGAUGGCGUGCAAAAGCCUUUUAUGCAUUUGCUCUUUAUAGAGCUUCAUGUGAGCAUACCAUUGUUAUACUCUGCCGGGCAUCGGUAGCCUAUACUGGAGUUUUUUUUGUUGUAAUAAGGAUAGUUGUAUGUGGACUUAGCUGUGGUUUAUCUUGGUAGGUAUCUUAUAAUCUGUGCUCUACACUGAAGUUGUUUGUAACGAAUUAUCAUACAAAGUUGUUUGUAACGAAUUAUCAUACAUUUUGUCUACAACUGUAAUAUGUAGUGAGUUUAUAUUGUUUUACCA